rnacentral:rRNA from 1 species
CGAGCGGACAGAAGGGAGCUUGCUCCCGGAUGUUAGCGGCGGACGGGUGAGUAACACGUGGGUAACCUGCCUGUAAGACUGGGAUAACUCCGGGAAACCGGAGCUAAUACCGGAUAGUUCCUUGAACCGCAUGGUUCAAGGAUGAAAGACGGUUUCGGCUGUCACUUACAGAUGGACCCGCGGCGCAUUAGCUAGUUGGUGGGGUAAUGGCUCACCAAGGCGACGAUGCGUAGCCGACCUGAGAGGGUGAUCGGCCACACUGGGACUGAGACACGGCCCAGACUCCUACGGGAGGCAGCAGUAGGGAAUCUUCCGCAAUGGACGAAAGUCUGACGGAGCAACGCCGCGUGAGUGAUGAAGGUUUUCGGAUCGUAAAGCUCUGUUGUUAGGGAAGAACAAGUGCGAGAGUAACUGCUCGCACCUUGACGGUACCUAACCAGAAAGCCACGGCUAACUACGUGCCAGCAGCCGCGGUAAUACGUAGGUGGCAAGCGUUGUCCGGAAUUAUUGGGCGUAAAGGGCUCGCAGGCGGUUUCUUAAGUCUGAUGUGAAAGCCCCCGGCUCAACCGGGGAGGGUCAUUGGAAACUGGGAAACUUGAGUGCAGAAGAGGAGAGUGGAAUUCCACGUGUAGCGGUGAAAUGCGUAGAGAUGUGGAGGAACACCAGUGGCGAAGGCGACUCUCUGGUCUGUAACUGACGCUGAGGAGCGAAAGCGUGGGGAGCGAACAGGAUUAGAUACCCUGGUAGUCCACGCCGUAAACGAUGAGUGCUAAGUGUU